rnacentral:lncRNA from 1 species
CUCUUUUCCUCUUUAUUACAGACUGCCAUUUUUAUUCCUAUCUGAUUUUGGUGCAAUGAAGUUGAGUUUUGAGGAUUUGCAACCUUUAAAAUGAGGAGCUAGGGAAAAAAAGGACAAGGGCAUAUGACUAUAAAUGUUGUACCAAACACUGAACUAGAUACACAGAUGAGUAACAUAAGGUAGUGUCCUUGUCCUAAUGGUACUUGCUCGGAUAGUGGUGGGAGCUAGCAAAUAACCAUACAAAC